UACGUAGGCAGCAAGCGUUGUUCGGAAUUACUGGGCGUAAAGAGUGUGUAGGCGGUGCUCUAAGUUUGGUGUGAAAUCUCCCGGCUCAACUGGGAGGGUGCGCCGAAAACUGGAAUGCUUGAACGUGGGAGAGGAAAGCGGAAUUCCUGGUGUAGCGGUGAAAUGCGUAGAGAUCAGCAGGAACACCCGUGGCGAAGGCGGCCCCCUGGGCCGUACCUGACGCUGAGGCGCGAAGGCUAGGGGAGCGAACGGG
rnacentral:rRNA from 1 species